UAUAUCAGGCAUUAUGUAUGGCCAGCUAAUUGUUGAUAUUACAAAGCGGAUCGAUGAAAGCCCAAACUGAUCGAUAAUUGUCAUACUUUCAAUGUACUUUUUUAAACAAACUAGCCCUUUCCUUAAUUAAUAAUUUGACAUAUAGGCCAACCAAAUGGCACUCAACACAUCCACCUUUUUUCUUUCUUUGUAAAUGAUACCACACCCUGUCAUUUUAGGGUAAAGUUCGAUGUGCUUUACAUCACGCUCAUCAGUUCAGUAUUUGUACAGAGGGUUGCUACAGUAACGUUUGCAAAACAACACGCGGUCACUGUGAGUGGUGGUAACUUUACCGUCAUUGGUUCCACCAUAAAGAUCCGCAUGUUUAUUAAUUUCACUGGGUAUGACAGAGGCAUCAAACAAUUUGUUAAAAAUAAAUUAUAUUAAUCGCACAAAGAUAGCUAAUUUAACAGGUGUGGUGAUACUGAUGACUUUGGGCACAGAUGGUUUGUUUACAUAGCAGUCAGGAUAAUUAACGUCGCAGGCUAGGAUAAUUAACGUGGCAGGUUACGAGAACUAACGCAGCAGGAUAUGUGAAUUAAUGUAGCAGGUUAUGAGGUUAAGGUUAUGAAAAGAGUUAGGGUUAGCUAAUGCUUCUGUUGUCAACAGCUGUUUUCCCCGACGCGACCACUGGAUGGAGAUGUAGGCCUACCCCUAACCACAACCGAGGAAAUGUAAACAAACCAUAUGUGGCGACAAAUCACAGGGGAAAGGGCUAAACGAGAGGGUUUACUCAGCCCUAAAAAUGUCAGCGAAAAUAAAACCGCGAGAGUGUCGAAUUUGUUCAACGAAAAUGUAAUGGCUUAUUUUCUACAUGAGGUUUAUUUGAUCGAAUAGAAGUUUCGUAAUGCUUAAGUUGUUACGAGUAUACUGAUAUAAGUUGGACACGUGACAUCCCAGCAACUUUGAGAAAAAAAACACUUUAUAUUCGAGUUGUCUCGAGAUGGUUUAGCAUCGUAUUCAUGUAAUGUGGCUGUAGUAUAUAAUCUCUCGUCAUUGAAUACAGGCGGUUGAAAUUAACAACCCUCAUCGAAUAUUACAAACUAAUUACAAUAAAUAGAUGUAUCCACCAAUCCCAAAAAAUAGGCGGGAACUAGACAGCCAGCCGUGCCACUUUGUGAACAACGACUCCCAUUGUUAGGGCGGAGAAACAUGUAAUCUUGUCUAUUUCCCAAAAACUUUGGUUUGAUGAAAACAUCUCUGGUGGGAAAAUGCAUAUUGUUUUAGGUAGAUUUGAGGUUAUUCGCAUGAAAAUCUGCCCCAAAUUGGUUGGAAACCUAGCUAUAGACGUGAAACUAGUUAGGGAAUUAAGAAAAUGUAACGGUAGCUACGUUAUUCACAUGAAGAUAAUGAAAGGGUGAAUUCUGUUUAGUUGAAGAAGUUAGUAAUCUGAUUGACAGCCAGUAAGUAGUACGAGCUAGUGAGUAAAGUUAGUGUUCUCAGGUAGUUAGCUAGGCAACUGUUGUGGCAAUGACUUCCAGAGGUCGAGGAACCCAAAAACCAAACAUAUCUGGUACAAAAGGAACUCCACGCAAUGCUAUAUCCAGUUAUAAAGUCGGAUACACCUGGAACCAAGGUGGAAGACAAGGAGCCGAGAAUAAGGUCUCACAUCGCAGAGUGGGGCUGGAAGGAUGAGUGGACAGCUAGGAGGGAGUUGAGGCUCACCGUGAGGGCAGAGUGCCAUUACAGCAGUAAGGCUGGCAGGGCAUGUUGUGUCACAGCAGUAACAAGAGUUACUCCUGUAUGCCAGCUGAGAGGCGGUGUCUGCGUGUGGCUUGGGAUAGCUGGGAAGUGUACAUGAGAACGAAACACAGGAUGCAAGAAUCUGCUCUUCAGUUCCAGAAACUCACAGCUCUACGUUGGGUGUGGACUAUGUGGCAGACUGGGAUGCGGAGGAGAUAUGAUGCAUGUGAUAUGGAGGACCAAGCACUGGGCAUCUGACUACAUAGUAAGGCACUACGUUCAUGCCUGGAUAAGCUACGUUCACCUCCGCCAAGCUAAGAGGAAACCACAAGCUGUUGCUGUGCGAGCCUGGCAACUCUGCUUGGUCCUGAGGUAUUGGUAUGUGUGGAGAUGUGGACUACAGAGAGAGGUGGACAGAGAGCAGGGUGUUGACCAUCUGGCACAAUGCAGCAUACAGCGCAGGCCACUGGAGCGCUGAAGACACUAUCCUACUACACACACACACUGACCGAUGUGAAGUCACACACUAUUGCAAGAACAACAUUAGCAAUCCUCACCUUAUGGUAAACUUCAUGUGCCCUCAUUCACCUCAACAUCAUACUUCGGAACAUAUUGCAAGAAGAUUAAGUGAAUUUCCUGAGCUUAUGUGCAGAUGUGGAGCUGUGCAUGCAGGAGUCAGAGAGAUCAGGCAGCAGCAAGUUAACACCAACACCGCCAUCUAUUGCACGCUGGCCUGAGAAGUCUGGCCCUUAGUAUCGCUCAGGGACUCAUCGACUCAACAAGAACAUCGCUGUCCAGCGUCAUCAUCGCACUGCAGGUAUUGGAUACUCUGGCAGCAACGUCUGGAGGAAGCUGAAGAUGGGGUACUUCAGACACAGAUUACACACACCCACUACAGGGUCUGGAGCGUCGUCCUGAGGCCUGGUUUGCGAACCACAUCUUUCCACAGUGUCUGAACUCCUGGGUUGAGUUUACCUGCCAGAGGAAAAGGCACAGGGAGAGAGGAGAGAAAGGAGCAGAGGCUGGCUGAGAGGAUGAUAAAACAGCUGUCCCAACACACACACACACACCAUCAUGGUACAGCCAUACACCCAGACAGAGCCCGUGCUGUCCUACCCUUUGGGCCUUGCUGCAUGAAGAGAGGUUGUGUUUGAGUAGAGCCUGGCACCACUGGUAGUGGAGGGCGAGGAAGGGGAAACGGAGAGCCUCUGACAUACUGGACCACCAUACUGUAGUCCACAACACACUGAGCCAGUGGAAGGACGACUUCACCAUGAUCCGGGACAGGUACUGUACGACUGACUGUAAAAUUAUCAGUGAGGAUCAGGAUGAUAUUUUUCUUGAGGUUAUAAUGCACGUUAAUGACCUGCUACUCACGCUGACUGUUGUGGACCAACUGGUUCAGAAAGACGUAGACGGGUGUGUGUUCUUAACAGGAUUUGAUUAGACCCUUUUGAGAUUUUGGUUAAUCCUUCAUGCGUGUUUGGUUUUUAUGUAUCUCUUAAGGGGAAACCGAGAGGCGCAGGCAGGUCGACAUGGGGAAGUGUGUUGUGUGCGACGCGCCCUGAGUGGCUGGAGUGAGGUACAGCAUUUUACCAUAUACAGUAUAGUUUACCAUUAGCCUUGCUCUGUUUGGUUUCUCCAGAGUAAUCCUACAUUCUUUGACGUCAUUGUGUCCAGCAAAGAGGAGAGAAGAACAGCAGGCUGGGUCAGAUUGUCUUCAUGGCAUGAGUCAGACUUCUCAAACACACCUUUACAGGCCUGGAAGGCACAACAGAGCUCACAUCAUAUACAUCACGGAUGGGCUAUAUAUUUAUAUUUCUUUAGGAACUCUGGAUCUGAACGUUUGACAGUUAGAAUAGUAGAAUACAUAAGGUGCAGCUUCAAAAUUUGGUUGUGCAUCAUCAGUUUAUCUUCUGUCACUGACAGUCACUCAAUUGGCCCAGGUCAACUAAAAUGUAUUAGAUUGAUAAGUUAGCCUAGCGCCGCGCUAUUUAAACUUGUAUUUAUCAUGGUUGAAUUACCAACCAGGGGGCCCCCCAUUUGAUUUUGGGAGUCACUCACUCAUGUAUCAUAUUAAAAGCUGCUAACAUUUCUCUCUGCCCCAUGUCAAAAUAUGUAGCAUUGCAAGAAAUUAACUUUAAAACUUAAACAACAACAAAAAUCGCACUGCUUUCAAGAGGGGGGGGUGCUAAAAUGUUUUGCUCGCGAGGUGGGGCCCCGCCAAAAGGCUAGGGCCGGCUCUGACUGCAUGUGUUGGUAUGGAUGUGUGUAUGCACCCCUCAAACUUGCCCGUCCCUAUUAAUAUGUUAACUGUUCUGAAUGUUGUUAGUUAACAUUUCUAUUGUUCAUUCAUUUGGUCAUCAUGUUCCGUCUGACCUGAUUGAUGCUCCUCGCAGAAUAGACUCCACCCUGCUUUGUUUGUCCGAGGGGACGUGCUGUCUCUCUCUGCCUAUGAUCCCCUGUGGUGGCAUCACCUCCAGACACAACAGGUCGAUGAGCUUGUAGAGGAGCGCUACAGCCUGCAUCAUCAUGACUUCCUCCUGGAUCAACCCAAAUGGAUCCACCGUCUCAAUCUCUUUAUCCGCCGUCUCUUACUUGUUAAUUUUGGUCAUCUUACUGACAGACACUUGUAUUACGUCUUCCCGGGAGGGUUCUGCGUGUGUGGAAGGAGACUGCAGCCCCGUUGGCAGCAGCCAGGAGCAGUGAGAAGAGGGCAGAGAACCACUACCGGCACUGUUCAGGUUAAGGUGUUAGAGCAGCUCUAUCUAUUACCUAUGAUAAAGUCUAAGGCUUCAUUGAACGUUUUAUAGAAGCUCAAUGACUUGGCUUCUAAUUUAUUUCUACUGCUUCGUAUGUUAUCAGUACUGUUACCACGACUGAUUCUGGCUGCAACUACUGCUCAAGUCAGUGUGAAAUACUCACCAACAAAUGUCAUUUAUUUUCCUAUAGGUGCUGUUGGCAUGGAGGAAAGCCACAUCCCGUGUCAAAAUGUCACCGACAGUGAGCAGGGCUCCGAGUCACAUGGAUAAAGUGAAACAGCAGGGGACUUUCAGGAGUUGGCGGGAGCGAAGCAGAGCGGUUGUGGAGGAGAGUACAGGCAUGGAGAAAACCAAAAGCCACCACUCUCUUCUUUGCAGUAUGUUCAGAUUGUGGACUAUGUACCUGCAGCAUCAGCAGAGCAUCAGCAGAGCUAUAAGGUGAUGCGAGAAACGGGACACUCGAUGUUGAGACGGGCUGCCUCCAGGUGGUAAGGCUGCAGCACAGAAGGAGAGAGGCUGAGCAGACAGAACUGGCCCUCUGGCACUGGUCCCUCAGUCUGCAGGCCAAGGUGCUGGAGGCUGUGGGUUGCGGAGCAGCACCAGAAGCAGGAGAGGCUGCCCAGUUCUAUAGAGACCAGCUUCUGAGGGAAGGGGAAGCCCACGCCGCUCACAUGGGCAGCUUCUGCACCAACAUAGCACUGCACAGCCAGGAGCAGAGUUUGCGGUGUCUCCAGGGGUGGUGCUGCAGUGGAAACAGACAGCAGUGAGGGUGGCGGUGCGUGCUUCCAGAUGACAACCACGACGGCCUAGAGUUCUGCUAUACUCCCCGGUCAAAGAGCUGCUACCACCUGCAGCUCCUCUACCACCUCCAACCCAGGUCCCAGUGACAGCGAGCCUCCACCCUGCUGCAGCCUCCCUCCCCAUCAGUCCCGUACUGGCACGGCCAGCGCCCCCAUCUCAGUCUUCCAACAACACCACAUUAUGGAUCAGUAGACCAGACUGCGCCCCCCUCCUCAUUCAUGACCACCCACACUCAAACUAAGGUAGCGGUUACUAUAUUCCAAAAACGCAUGUAGUGUGUGUGUUUGUUUUUUUGAAUGAGAUUUUUUUGUUCAUGCAAUAUAAAAAUAAAAAAAAUCUAGCUAAGGCAGCCUAGGGGCUCAUGGGUCAGACUCCUCACUACUGCCCC